CCACUUCUUGCCUACCACUAUACUUUGCCAAUCCUCUAUUAAUCAUCACCCCACCAUCUUGUUGUUCCACCUGCAAUUAUCGAAGGAAGACUUCAAUUAUUGCUGCCAAAUCCUUAAGCCAUUCCAGUUCAUAUAACUCAAGCAACAACCAAGCAGUUGAAAACAAGUGAGGUAAUUCACUAUCUCAAUCAACCAUUCCAGAAAACAUUCAUAUCAAAGCAUGAUCAUGAUCAGUUAUACAUUUGUAAUGUGAUUCCACAAACAAAUAGAAAGGAACCACUUUAGCUCACCAUUGUCACUAAUAGAUGAACGAAUAUAUCCAUAGCACGCUCACUAUUAGAUAAUUGAAUUCAGAUUUUCUCCUGAAGGAGUCUUUAUGCAUAUUGAUUUCUAAUACGCAACGAAAACAAACGAGACUAGAGAACUUAGCUUUAGGAUGAGUGGUACUGGACUGUCGGAGCUCUGCGACUCACAGCGACGGUGGCUCCGGAAGAGACGACUGCCGGAUUCUUGCUGUUAACAGCAGCGGCUGACGGUGGCGCUCCCAAGCGGCGACGUCCGGCGAUAGAACUCCAAGCCGCGACCCGGCGAAACAGCAGCUGUAGUUGGAGGCGUGGUUCGAGCCUUCGACUCCGGAAAUAGCAGCAACGACAGA
rnacentral:lncRNA from 1 species